rnacentral:rRNA from 1 species
GAUGAACGCUGGCGGCGUGCCUAAUACAUGCAAGUCGAGCGAACAGACGAGGAGCUUGCUCCUCUGACGUUAGCGGCGGACGGGUGAGUAACACGUGGAUAACCUACCUAUAAGACUGGGAUAACUUCGGGAAACCGGAGCUAAUACCGGAUAAUAUAUUGAACCGCAUGGUUCAAUAGUGAAAGACGGUUUUGCUGUCACUUCUAGAUGGAUCCGCGCCGCAUUAGCUAGUUGGUAAGGUAACGGCUUACCAAGGCAACGAUGCGUAGCCGACCGGAGAGGGGGAUAGGCCACACUGGAGGUGAGACACGGUCCAGAGUCCUACGGGAGGCAGCAGUAGGGAAUCGUCCGCAAUGGGCGAAAGCCUGACGGAGCAACGCCGCGUGAGUGAUGAAGGUCUUCGGAGCGUAAAACUCUGUUAUUAGGGAAGAACAAAUGUGUAAGUAACUAUGCACGUCUUGACGGUACCGGAUCAGAAAGCCACGGCUAACUACGUG